UUGGCUCCCCUCCCCCUCCGCAGUGCCGCGAGUCGGCGCCGCCACCUCCCCUCUCCGCGCUCGCGGCCCUGCGGCACCUAGCGCGGCCGGCGCCCCCCCACCCCCUCCCUGCAGCCCUCCCUUUCCCGCGGGGCCGCCACCGUCGUCCGCGCCCCAGCCCUCUUCUCCCUCCGUCGACCGAGGCGGCCGUAGCUGGAGGACGAGCCGGAGCCCGCGGCCGGGGACCCAUGGCGUACAGUCAGGGAAGCGGCAAGAAGAAAGUGUGCUACUACUACGACGGUGAUAUUGGAAAUUAUUAUUAUGGACAGGGUCAUCCCAUGAAACCGCAUAGAAUCCGCAUGACUCAUAACUUGCUGCUAAAUUAUGGCUUAUAUAGAAAAAUGGAAAUAUACAGGCCCCAUAAAGCCACUGCUGAAGAAAUGACAAAAUACCACAGUGAUGAGUACAUCAAAUUUCUACGUUCAAUAAGACCAGAUAACAUGUCUGAGUAUAGUAAGCAGAUGCAGAGAUUUAAUGUUGGAGAGGAUUGCCCAGUAUUUGAUGGACUAUUUGAGUUUUGUCAGCUCUCAACGGGUGGCUCAGUUGCUGGGGCUGUGAAGUUGAACCGACAACAAACUGAUAUGGCUGUUAACUGGGCUGGAGGAUUACAUCAUGCAAAGAAAUCAGAAGCAUCAGGAUUCUGUUAUGUUAAUGAUAUUGUACUUGCCAUCCUUGAAUUACUAAAGUAUCAUCAGAGAGUCUUAUAUAUUGAUAUUGAUAUCCAUCACGGUGAUGGUGUUGAAGAAGCUUUUUAUACAACAGAUCGUGUAAUGACUGUAUCAUUCCAUAAAUAUGGGGAAUACUUUCCUGGAACAGGAGACUUGAGGGAUAUUGGUGCUGGAAAAGGCAAAUACUAUGCUGUCAAUUUUCCAAUGAGAGAUGGUAUAGAUGAUGAGUCAUAUGGGCAGAUAUUUAAGCCUAUUAUCUCAAAAGUGAUGGAGAUGUACCAGCCUAGUGCUGUGGUGUUACAGUGCGGUGCAGACUCGCUGUCCGGUGAUAGACUUGGCUGCUUCAAUCUAACAGUCAAAGGUCAUGCUAAAUGUGUAGAAGUUGUAAAAACAUUCAAUUUACCAUUACUGAUGCUUGGAGGAGGUGGAUACACAAUCCGAAAUGUUGCUCGAUGUUGGACAUAUGAGACUGCAGUUGCCCUUGAUUGUGAAAUUCCCAAUGAAUUGCCAUAUAAUGAUUACUUUGAGUAUUUUGGACCGGACUUCAAACUGCAUAUUAGUCCUUCAAACAUGACAAACCAGAACACUCCAGAAUAUAUGGAAAAGAUAAAACAGCGUUUAUUUGAAAAUUUACGCAUGUUACCUCACGCACCUGGCGUCCAGAUGCAAGCUAUUCCAGAAGAUGCUGUUCAUGAAGACAGUGGAGAUGAAGAUGGAGAAGACCCAGACAAAAGAAUUUCUAUUCGAGCAUCAGACAAACGGAUAGCUUGUGAUGAAGAAUUCUCAGAUUCUGAAGACGAAGGAGAAGGAGGUCGUAGAAAUGUGGCUGAUCAUAAGAAAGGAGCAAAGAAAGCUAGAAUCGAAGAAGACAAGAAGGAAACAGAGGACAAAAAAGCAGUGUGCUCUUGUGGACUGAUGGACAUCCAGAAUUCCAGCUAUAAUUGAGAUGUUAAGGAAGAAGAUAAAGCCAAGGACAAUAAUAGUGAAAAAACAGAUACCAAAGGAGCCAAAUCAGAACAGCUUAACAACCCUUGAAUUUGAGAGUCACCAGCUUCAAAAACCAUAAAACAAGUGAGAAAAUAAUGGGAAGAAGUGUUUUCUAUUUGAAGACUUCUGGCUUCAUUUUAUACUACUUUGGCAUGAACUGUAUUUAUUUUCAAAAUGGCUUUUUGUUUUUGUUUUUCUUGGCAAGUUUUAUUAUGAGUUUUCUAAUUAGGAAGCAAAAUUUGUUUUCCUCCACCAUGCUUUAUGUGAUAGUAUUUAAAAUUGGAUGUGAGUUAUGUCAAAGAGCUGAUCUGUUGAAGAAGUAAUUGGCCUUUCUGAGCUUUUCCAUCUUUUGUAAUUAUCUUUAUUAAAAAAUUGUACUUGGAUUGUCUUGUCUGUUUUUUACAACAUGAAAUCUUUUUUUCAGACACUAAUGGUGUGACUCUGGAGAAUUAGAGUCGUGAAGGAUACUGAUUAUAACUUAAAGGACAUCCAUUUACUGUUUCCUUAGGAAGGAGUAGUGUAAUGACUAUUUCUUUAUGAGGUGGGAAGGAAUUACACCAUCUUGUCCUCUAGGGUAGCUACUGAGAAUUGGUGAAGAUUGGCAUCUCGUUAUAUCUGAAAUUAAAAUACAAGCUAUGCAGUUGAGAUAUACGGGUUAUCUUUGAGAUGAACCAGAUUCCCAAAAAUUAGAAAUGGGAAUUCUGAGUUGAAAGAAGAAAUCUACAACCAGAAGGAAAUGUAGCUUCCAUCUUCAGCUGUAUGUAUUUUUUUUUUCCAACUUCUACCAAGUACCACGUAAACAAAGAGUUGUAUUAUUGUGUUUGACUAGAACUUUCUUGUAUUAAGGCUUUCUAAAAUAAACCUAUUUAGACAAAA